rnacentral:rRNA from 1 species
GACGGAGGAUGCAAGCGUUAUCCGGAAUUAUUGGGCGUAAAGCGUCCGCAGGUGGACAUACAAGUCUGUUGUCAAAGUGCAGAGCUUAACUCUGUAAAGGCGGUGGAAACUGUAGGUCUUGAGUAUGGUAGGGGUAGAGGGAAUUCCCGGUGUAGCGGUGAAAUGCGUAGAUAUCGGGAAGAACACCAGUGGCGAAAGCGCUCUACUGGGCCAUAACUGACACUGAGGGACGAAAGCUAGGGGAGCGAAAGGG